UACCUUAAUAUAUUUAUUAUAAUUCAAGACACGGAAGCUGAUCUCAAGCAAUAAAGCUGUAAUACAACAAUUUUAUAAGUAUUAGCGCUCUGGAUUACAACAAAAUGGCAACAUCCAAAAAAGAAAUCACCGUGGUAUUGCUUGGUAAAACAGGAUAUGGAAAAAGUUCUACAGGGAAUACUUUGCUUGGAGCUUAUCGAUUUGAAGAAAGUAAUAGCAUGUCAUCCAUCUCAAAAACUGUUGUAGAUUACAGCAACGAAGAUAAAGAUUGCAGAUGGCGUGUCUACGAUACACGUGGCCUGAUGGACGUCGAGAAAGAGACACCGUAUGACGACUUUCUUUCUAUUUGUGAAGACAUAACCAAACUAAUGCAAAUCUGCAAAGAGCAUUCCAGUCAUCACAGUCUUUCUUCUAGUUUUUACUUUCAUCAAUAAGUUUUCAUGCGAGGACAAAAAAUCUGUCGAAUGGAUAGAAACAAUUUUCGGAAAAACCUUUUUUGAGAAUCAUUGUAUUAUAGUGCUAACAAGAGAGGAUUGCUUUGAUGGAAACCUUGACAAUUGGCUCCAAAAACAAACAGGGGAAUUUGCAAAUUUGGUAAAAAGGUGCAAACAAAGAGUGGUGCCGGUAUGUAAUAAGGACAUUGAUAACAAUGAUAAAAGACGCGAAGAUUCUA
rnacentral:sRNA from 1 species